GGAAAGGUGUCAGAGUGGUCGAAUGUGCCGGUCUCGAAAACCGGUGAGGUGAAAGCCUCCGCGGGUUCAAAUCCCGCCCUUUCCGCCA
rnacentral:tRNA from 1 species